UACGAAGGGGGCUAGCGUUGUUCGGAAUUACUGGGCGUAAAGCGCACGUAGGCGGAUCGAUCAGUCAGGGGUGAAAUCCCAGGGCUCAACCCUGGAACUGCCUUUGAUACUGUCGAUCUGGAGUAUGGAAGAGGUGAGUGGAAUUCCGAAGUAGAGGUGAAAUUCGUAGAUAUUCGGAGGAACACCAGUGGCGAAGGCGGCUCACUGGUCCAUUACUGGACGCUGAGGUGCGAAAGCGUGGGGAGCAAACAGG
rnacentral:rRNA from 1 species